CCUAGGGGGGCAGCAGUGGGGAAUAUUGGACAAUGGGGGGAACCCUGAUCCAGCCAUGCCGCGUGUGUGAAGAAGGCCCUCGGGUUGUAAAGCACUUUCAGUGAGGAAGAACGCCUGGUGGUUAAUACCCAUCAGGAAAGACAUCACUCACAGAAGAAGCACCGGCUAACUCCGUGCCAGCAGCCGCGGUAAUACGGAGGGUGCGAGCGUUAAUCGGAAUUACUGGGCGUAAAGCGCGCGUAGGUGGCUUGAUAAGCCGGUUGUGAAAGCCCCGGGCUCAACCUGGGAACGGCAUCCGGAACUGUCAAGCUAGAGUGCAGGAGAGGAAGGUAGAAUUCCCGGUGUAGCGGUGAAAUGCGUAGAGAUCGGGAGGAAUACCAGUGGCGAAGGCGGCCUUCUGGACUGACACUGACACUGAGGUGCGAAAGCGUGGGUAGCAAACAGGAUUAGAUACCCGUGUAGUC
rnacentral:rRNA from 1 species